rnacentral:misc_RNA from 1 species
AAGACACUGCUUAAUCAAUUCUUCCCAAAGUUCAUCAUCAUGCUGCAUGGUUACAAAUUCUACAGCCUCUUCAAUAUCUCCUAAUUCUUUUAUGAUGACAGCUAGGGCCUUUUUUGAGUUUCCCAUUCUUCCAAGUAUGAAGACUUGCUCCCUCAAAAGAUCUCUUUUGACACUAAUAUCGUAUGCCUUCUCAAGUGUGUAAUGUUGGCUGCUACGGAGAAAAGGAAGUAGCAUUUUUGGAUCAUAAUCUGCAUAAAGUUCUACCUGCAUAUCAUGAAAAUCCUUUCCAGCAUGUGGAUUUGCCUCAAAUAAUGAACGGAGAUAUACAUGCAAGAAAUAUCUUGAAUCACACUUAUUUCUGGCAGCCAGCAGUUGUGAGACAAUUUCAGCUGGAGAAAUUAGGUCCUUGUUUUGGAUAAACAAAGAUACGGCACGCUUCCAAUCCAGCAUCAUCAAUUGGACAACCUUUUCACAAAUAGCAUCAUGUAAGUUGUGUUUUUCAAUGAA